rnacentral:rRNA from 1 species
GACGAACCGUCCUAACGUUAUUCGGAAUUACUGGGCGUAAAGCGCGCGUAGGCGGCUUUGCGAGUCGGGUGUGAAAUCCCCAGGCUUAACCUGGGAACUGCAUUCGAGACUGCAUUGCUAGAGUAUGGGAGAGGGAAGUGGAAUUUCCGGUGUAGCGGUGAAAUGCGUAGAUAUCGGAAGGAACAUCAGUGGCGAAAGCGACUUCCUGGACCAAUACUGACGCUCAUGUGCGAAAGCGUGGGGAGCAAACAGG